rnacentral:misc_RNA from 1 species
UCCUCGUUUAAGCGAGGCAGUCUGUCCAGAGUGCCCCAAACUCUCGUUUGGGUAGCAACAGGACACAAGGGUUGCGCUCGUUGCGGGACUUAACCCAACAUCUCACGACACGAGCUGACGACAGCCAUGCAGCACCUGUGUAGGCUGGUAUUGCUACCUCGUUAUGCUUUCACACUUCUACCACAUGCAUGUCAAGGCCAGGUAAGGUUCUUCGCGUUGCAUCGAAUUAAGCCACAUACUCCACCGCUUGUGCAGGCCCCCGUCAAUUUCUUUGAGUUUUAAUCUUGCGACCGUACUUCCCAGGCGGCGCAUUUAUCGCGUUAGCUUCGCCACAAACGGGGUCGAUUCCGUUUACAGCAAAUGCGCACCGUUUACAGCCAAGACUAC